UCUCAGCCCUAGGCACCCCUGCUGCUGGUCAUUGAAGGAUGAGGAUGAAAUGAUUGCUUUCAAGAGUGGGUAAUCACUGGUCUCAACACUCCAUCAAAUAGCAUCAUCAGCAGAGGGCGAGUGGAGAAGCUGUGUUUACUUGCCUGAUGACUGGAGGCUGUGGCUGCUACCUAUAGCUAGGAGCCCCAACUUUCUCCUGUACACCAGCCUCAGGUUCCUCAAAUGCCAAGUGAAGAUGAUAUUGGUCACUCUGCAGAGAAUUGCAGCAAGGAUUAGACGAAGAUGAGAAAAUGAAGAGAAACUCAAACUGGAACACUUGUGAAGGAUGCUAUGAAACCAGUUGAUAUUUGGACUGCACUGUUUUUACUGUAAGCUCUGAAGUUUGGGAGUCUUGGCAGAAUCAAGAGUGAGCCACCCAAUGCUUAGUUCUUCGUGUGGCCUCUCUUCCAUCACGUCGGAUUUUAGCUGUUGGGCCUGAAGACUAAGAAUGGAGCAUCAAUAAUUAAAGAGAAGUUUGCCAGCCUUUGCUCCUGGGCCCAUUUGUCCUCUGCAUUGAACCAGCAGAAAUAAAAGAGCAUGGAGAACUUACAAAUGCUUCUUUAAAGCCUUGGAUCAGAGAAGACACUCAUUUCUUCUACUUCCAUUUCAUUGGUAAAAAUUGGUCACAUGGCCACAAUAGAUGUAAACAGUUCUGGGAAAUGUAGUCGCUGGCUAAGAAGCCUCUUCCCAGCAAUGACUUGACAUUGUGAAGGGUGGAGCACACAUUUUGGGAAACAAUUAUCAGUCUCUUGCUACAAACACCUAAUCAUAGCCUUGAAAGUUAUGCUUAAUUAAUUAAUUCCUAUUCAUCCCCUGUAUCCUAUGUUUCAGGCAAAAUUUGGGGGUCUUAAAAAAGAGAAAUGAAUAAGACUCAGUCAAAUAAGU